GCCUGUGAAGGGAUAUCCGUGAGGGGUCCUGGAGGUAUCGGAAGUGCGAAUGCUGACAUGAGUAACGACAAAGAGUGUGAAAGACACUCUCGCCGAAAGUCCAAGGGUUCCUGCGUAAAGUUAAUCUGCGCAGGGUUAGCCGGCCCCUAAGGCGAGGCCGAAAGGCGUAGUCGAUGGGAACAGGGUGAAUAUUCCCUGGCCAGCGGGU
rnacentral:rRNA from 15 species